rnacentral:rRNA from 1 species
UACGGAGGGUGCGAGCGUUGUCCGGAAUCACUGGGCGUAAAGGGCGCGUAGGCGGCGCGGGAAGUCCGUGGUGAAAGCCCGAGGCUCAACUUCGGGUCGGCCAUGGAUACUCCUGGGCUCGAGCACUGUAGAGGCAGGUGGAAUUCCGGGUGUAGCGGUGGAAUGCGUAGAGAUCCGGAAGAACACCGGUGGCGAAGGCGGCCUGCUGGGCAGUAGCCGGAAAGGCUUGAAAGCUGACGCUGAGGCGCGCAGCGUGGGGAGCAAACAGG